UAUUCUCAACCCAACCGCCACCAUGACGCAAUUCACUUCUCCUUCUCAUCUUUUCUUUCUCUUAUUCUUCCGAUUUCCUCCUCCAUGGAAAGCUACCGUCGGCAUAAAAAGCAGUCAGUGGCCCUCCCCUGUGGUGUGUCGGCAUCGUCGCAGUUACCAGUGCCCUCUCUCUCCCUGCCGUUUCCUUCCUGAAGCCCUAGUCGCGCAUCCGACUAUCGAUGCCCCAACUGCGGGUGUUCCUUGGUCGUGGUUUAGUCUUCCAAUGAUGAUUUUGAGUUGAGGGACCAACUUGGAAAAGGAAAAAAUGAAAUCCACGUUGUGGAUAGCUUGAUUUUUUCAACCCCCCUACAACCCUCUUUUGAUGGCGAUGAUUUAUUUUAUUUUUCAAGAGAGCAGUUUGCCGCGAGUGCAGGUGACGGUGGAUAAGUGCCAGAUACGGAAGAGCCUUUUGAUUGGGAGUUGGAUUUCAACUUCUCAGAUAGGUUCUACGGGAGAGCUAGCAACAUCUCGGCGUUCUUUUUCCUUGCUAAAAAAGGAUGCCGGACUUGAAGGUGAUGCUCCCUGUGUUAUGGAAAAUGAUGAUAUUUGGGCGAAAAUAGAAUUUUUUCAUGAUUCCGAAGAAGAGCACGAUGAAGAUGAAAUCAAAACUCCUUCCCGAUUCUAUGUACCCUUGAGUUCAUGUCCCUAGUGAGGACGUUGGUGAGAUCUACUCUAAUCCUUUAUUGCUUGAACAUAUCUAUGGUUUUUUUUUUUUAAAACAUUAAAGUUUUUGUGAAAUUUUUGCUGGGAAUUUGUUGCGUUUUGGUGUGCACUUGAAAAUUUGCUCUAUUAUUGCUGAAUUUCUUGUAUUGAUCAAUGUUUUGUGCUCAAAAUGAAGUCAUGCUUUUAUGUGUCCUAUGGUGCGUUGAAAAAAUUUCUUUAUUAUUGGUGGAAUUGAUGUAUUGAUCACUUUUUGUGCUGGAAAUUCAAUCAUGUUGUGAUGAUCUUUAUGUGAACAAUUUGUGUAUGAAUUUACUUUCGGCUUGCGACAUAUACUUAUAGUAAACAUUUUUCAACAAUUCAUCUCAACUUGUAAGUUCUAUGUUGAGCUAAUUUGGGGAAACAACAUUCUUUCAAUUGCAUUUCAUUGAACAAAGAAAUACCCCUGAUAUUUACAGUUGCAUAUCAUGUAAUCGCUUUCAAAAGAAAAACAUUAAAAUAUUUUUACUACAAACAUUCAAAAAGCUUACACUAUAAACCCGCAUUUACAGUUUUUUUACAGGUUUACUAAAGCAUAAACAUUUACAAAAUAUUUUUCAAAAACAUAUUCCUAUCUCUAAUAGCCGAAGUCAGUCUAAGUCUUUCAAUUCCCUUCACCUCUUUUUUUUUUCAAUAAGAUAUUGAAUGCAUUCAUGAACUAAUCCCAUAGGAACGGUGAGCUGAUUUGGGAGAUUUUCCACCCUAAAUAAACUAUAUUUUCUCAAAUGUGGAAGCUUUUAAUUAUUAUCUCCCUUAGAUUUUAUUACUUCAAUUAUACAACCUUGUAAACUUAAGAUACCUUGUUUAAUGUUUGUGGUGUCAACUCAUUGUAGCUUGUUACAACUGCAUCUACAAGUUCAUUGACAUUCUUGCAUCCUUUCUCGGUUUGUAAGCUCUGAAUUGCUCGAAACCAUCUUAAAUCAUUUACAUUAAUAUCUGGAGACUUAGGUGGUUGUUAAUUAAGAACAAUAUUGAAACUAUCGUUUAUUGAUGUAUGUACAAAAUCUAGACCGUCCCCUUUUAAGUGUGGUUUUGCAUUAACUUGCAGAAUGAAUAUAUUUUUUGAAAAUUUGGCUGACCACUUUCCUUUGAUUGCUGGAAUGACUUGCCAUAAUAUUAACCAUAAUUCUUGUCAUGUUAGAAACUAUAAAUAUUGAUCAAAUGAGUUGCAACAUUAAUCAUGAGAAAAUGUUGGGUCUUCUACUCUAAAUGAGAGAGUAUAAGACAUCCACAAUAAAUUUUCUUAUAUUUAAUGUAUAUGUAGGUGUAAAUUAUGGCUAACCUGAUUAAUCAAACAACUUUUUUAUAACCUUUCUUGUUACAAAUUAUAUUGGUUUUGUUUCCAAUGUACCAGCCACUCGAUUUUCGCUUGCUGGGACUUUCUCAGUGAAUGGAAAAAUCUCAAUUUUUUCAUCAAACAGUAAUACUCCAUCAUUGUCCCAUAUAGGUUGGGACACUUCACACAUGAACAUAAUCUUUGAGAUAAUUUUUUGCUUUUGCAUGUUCUAUGUGGAUUCUUUUCAACCGGUGUCAAGUAAAAUCGAUGGCUAGCUUUGGACAUAUAGAACCAUUUUCUUAUCCAUAUGAACUGUGUUUUGCAUACUCUAAAAUGGUGCAUUUUUAAUGCACAAAAAAACAUCAAGUGCUUGUAAGAAAAAACUUAACCUUGCACGUUUAUUUGUCUCGGUAAGUUCAGGCUUAAUAGCACUUGUAUGAGCUCUAAUAUGUGAUAAUGCAUAUAUUGUCCUACAUUUAUAUAGAUAAAUUAUAAAAUAUUAUUAAUGCUAUGGAUAGAUUUCUACUCAUUUUGGCAUGUUAUUGAUUGUUGCAAAGGAAUUGAGUAAUUCACGUUCAUGCCAUGUUUUCGAUCAAAGAAUUAUGGAAGGACUUGAACUACGCUCUCAUGUUAAGGAAAGAGGUGGAUUACGGGAAUCAAAGCAUAAUUGUUAGCAUCAUGAUUGAGAGGAAGCAAUUACAGGAGCAAUUAAAGACCUGAUCAUCUAUAAAAAGGGGGCCAAGGAAUGGGAUGAGAAAUUAAGCUUCACAGUCCCUGUGGAUCGACCUCGGCAACACUUGCUACGCGGAAAUGGUGGUGUAGAGUAUUUUUAUUGGAAGCACCGAGGCUACCAAGUUUUGGCGCCGUUGCCGGGGACUGGCGUUUGAUUUAUUUCUUUUCUUGUCAUUCAAUUAUAUUUUAUUAUUAUAUAUUAUAUAUUUAAUAGUUUAUGCCCCACUCUUUUUGUGCAGAAAAUUUAAUAUAAGAAGCGAAAAUCGAGAGGUUCGCAAGGACAUUGCGGAAAGAAACAAGAAGAAAACUGAAAUUUGAGAAGGCUUCGAGUUCGCAACCAAGUGAAUAGAUCAAGCAAGAGUCCAAUAUAGCGGAAGAAGAUACCCACACGCUCAGGGAGUUGGCUGCGCCUAAUUUGAAUUUACAACCUCUAUGUAUUACUUUGCUGGAAAUUGAAGGAAUUUGAUGUGGUUUGCUUGAGCAUGAAACCACCAACGGUUACCGAAGAACAAGUAAAGCUACGUGCAUUCCCUUUUCUCAUUGAAGGAUGCGGCAAAUGAAUGGCUCUUUUGUCUACCAGUGGGAAGCAUCACUACUUGGAGGGACAUGAAAAAGAAAAAUUUGGGGAUGUAUUUCCCGGCAUCGCGGGCGGCGACAUUGCGCAAGGAAAUUUGCAGAAUCAAACAACAAGAAAGAGAGACAUUGCAUGGAUAUCUGGAGAGGUUCAACAAGCUUUGAGCACGGUGCCCACAACACCAGAUUACUGACCAACUGUUGCUCCAAUACUUUUACGAAGGACUGGGCAUGCGAGACCGGAACAACAUUGAUGCUGCUAGCCAAGGACCGUUGGCGGAUAAAACACCGAAAGCCGUAUGGGAGUUUUCUAAGAGGAUGGCAGAGAAUUCGCAGCAGUUCGAAGUAGAGGAGUCGAAUAUUUGGAAGGUAAUGAUUAUCUUCAUCAACAAAUUUUCAAACUUACAAAAAUUGUUCAUCAAUUGGCUGCAAGAAAUACAUGCCAUGUGAGAGCGUGUGGCAUUUUCACAAGCCUGGAGCAUCCCACCGAUGCAUGCCCUGCCUUGCACGAGGAAAGUCAUGCCGAUGUGAAUGUAGCCGGUUUUGGUCCACUAAUUUUUGGCGCUGUUUCUGGGGUGGAGGAAUAAUCCGAAUCUCAGGUAUGAGAAUCCAAAACAUCAAGGGUUUCGACCUUAAGCACCUCCGCAACAAUUCUUCCAGCCACCACCUUCACCAAACCAAUCUAUCAUGCCACUAGAUGAAAUGAUGAAGACCAUGGCUACCAACACCAUUCAAUUUCAACAAGAUACGAGGGAGAGCAUUCAAAACCUUAAAACCCAAUGGAGCAAAUGGUGGCAGAUCUUCGCCAUGUCAAAGAAAGAGAGACGGGAAAAUGGCCAUCACAACCGGAAAGGAACCCAAAGAAUAUUAGUGCCAUGAAUUUAUGGAUUGAGAAGACAGUUGAAGCUCCGGAACCAAUCAUCUCGAAGGACAAAGACAAGAGCACCAUCGAGAAAGAAGAUGCGAGGAAAAAUGAGGUAAUUGAUGAAACUGUCCCUAAAUUGAAUACUAAUCUUGCCUCUUUUCCUUCCAGGUUGGCAAAGCCGAAAAGAGAGAAUGAGGUUUUGGAGAUUUUUCGAAAGGUCGAGUUCAAUAUACCCCUAUUGGACGCAAUCCACCAAAUUCUAAAGUACGCAAAGUUCUUAAAAGAGUUGUGUACCAACAAGCAGAAAUUGAAGGGAGAUGAAUGCAUCAUUGCAAGCGAGAAUAUCUCGGCACUACUCCAAAAAAAACUUCCACCAAAGUGCGGAGACCCAGGUAUGUUCACUAUCCCAUGUAAAAUAGGAGAGUUAGAAGUCAAGUGUGCUAUGUUAGAUUUAGGUGCGGCAAUUAAUAUCAUGCCAAAAUCAAUUUAUAAUUGUUUGAAUCUUGCACUAGUAAAGAAGACUGAGAUUGUUAUUCAACUUACUAAUAGGACACAUGCAUAUCCGAAUGAAUUAUAAAGGAUGUCCUUGUCCAAGUAUUUGAUUUUCCCAGUCGACUUCUAUGUCUUAGAAAUGCAUGAUGAACAUUCACCCAACCCAUCACCACUACUCUUAGGGAGACCUUUCAUGUGUACGGUGGUACUAAGAUUGAUGUUAAGCAUGGUAAUUGGAUGAUGAAAUUUGAUGGAGAAAAAAUUGAAUUUAAAAUUUUUGAUGCAAUUGAACAUCUCUCAGAUUCUCACUCGGUCUUUUCGUUAGAUAUUAUUGAAUUUGAAGUGCAAGAUGCUUUUAAGGUAAGAGACAAGGAGGCGCUAGAAGGGAUUUUACACAGGUAUGCCCAUGCUCAUUUAUUCUCGCCCGAGACUAAUACAUAUUUAUUGCCUUCGAUGUGCAACCACCGGAGUUGGAAUUAAAGCCGCUACCGAAUCAUUUGAGAUAUUCUCAUUUAGGAGACGGUGAGAUACUACCAUUGAUAAUUUCAUCCACAAUGAUGAAAGCCAAAAGGAAUGAGUUCAAGAACGAUACAAAGUGUUACAUGUGGGAUGACCCUUCAAGGAUGGAGAAGAAGUUUGUUUGGAUGGCUCUUGAGGGACCUUCGUCCUAAAUUCUCAAUUAAUAAAGUAUAGCCAAAUAUGUUAAAAAAAUGCGCUUUUGGGAGGCAACCCAAUUUUAUUAAUUUAUUUUUCUUUCUCUUGUAUGUUAAUUGGCUUGUCCUAGCUUUCCAUAGGUGAUGGUGAUCUCAGCAUGCCUGGACUAUAUUUUGAGCACUUAAGAAUAUCAUUUCAGCAAGUGGCACGACUUUAGGCAUGCCUAUUCUGGCCUGGCAGCAUGUCCAUGCUAGAUGAAUUUAUCAGAGUUUGUGAAGAUCUUGCGCACCACCCCCACCCGGUUCAGGGAAAUCCUGUUGUCCUUUGCUCUUUUUCUUUUUUGAAAUUCAUUUACAUUGAUGACAAUGUGCAUAAUCAGGGCGGGGGGGAUAUCAAUCAUUUUACCGAUUGCAUGACUAACUUGCGUGCUAAAGACUUUGUGUAUUUCUUUUCAUUAGAUGAAUUUUCGAUGAAGUAGACGAUAAAUAUGCUGAGCAUGACAUGUUUUACCCUAUGAGAGAUUUGAGCCUAAUAGAGCAUUCACUUUAAAUGCUAUAUAUUUCUUCUUGUGUUUGAUUGUUACUCUAGACUUGGUUUUCUAGAACUUGCGUAGAGAUGCAUGUCUAAUUUGAUUUCCUAUGAGUCUAUGCGAUUAAUAUGAUAAGGGCAUUAAGAUGAACCAUUUGACCUAAUAUAUUUCGUACCUAAAAAAAUUAAUCACUUAGUGAGCCCCUUUGAGCUUGAAUACCCUAUUUUAUUGUUAAACGAGCCGCAUAGUAACCUAUGACCUUUCUUUCUAAAGCCAAAAUUUAUUUGAACAUAUAGUCAAAGGAAAAUGUUUCGAGCUAUAUUAUUUUAAAGUUUCCAAAGGAAUGAGAAGUUAUGUCUAUUUAUUGUUGUUUAUUGCUUAUGAAAGAAAAGUAAAAAAAAAAAAGUUAAAAGGAUUAAGAAAGGACUGAGAAAAGCCAAAAAAAAAAAAAAAAAAGAAACAUGGCACAAAUUUUCAUUGCAUUAUAUCGGGAAGGAGCAUUUUGGUGUUAACUUAUCGGUUGAGUUGGGUGUACUACGGGUUAUCUUGGUGAGCAUUCUUCUUAUGUACUUUUCAAGAAUAAACUCUUGAGUAUGCAUGUUAAUGAAGGAAUAAGUGAGGGAUGAGAAGUUUUACGUAGUAUUAUCUAUCUUGGGAUACAUAGAGUCUAUAUAUUACAAAAUAAGCUUGGAAUAUUUUCUUUUUGACUUAUUUAAAGACCCUUUGAUUUUUUGCAUUAGAUUUCGAAGAAUUAAAAGAUGUGAUCAAUAUGCAAGCCUAUGGGAUAAUCAUUUUUACGAUGCGACACGAGUGACUUGUUAAUCCAAUAUAUUUGAGUGCCGAGUGUAUACACUUUAUUCAUAGUGAUGUUAUGUUGCGCUCGGUGUGUUUUGAGUUUCACUGAGAUAGUGAUAAUGUGAAUUUGUUUCUGAAGAUUAUGAUUGCAUCAAGUUCUUGCGUGUGCUUGUUUGGUUUAUGCUUGAGGGCAAGCAUGGUUUAGGUGUGGGAGAAUUGAUAAUGCAUAUAUUGUCCUAUAUUUAUAUAGAUAAAUUAUAAAAUACCAUUAAUGUUAUGGAUAGAUUUCUACUCAUUUUGGCAUGUUAUUGAUUGGUGCAAAGAAAUUGAGUAAUUCACGCUCAUGCCAUGUUUUCGAUCAAAGAAUUAUGGAAAGACUUGAAUUACGCUCUCAUGUUAAGGAAAGAGGUGGAUUAUGAGAAUCAAUGCAUAAUUGUUGGCAUCAUGAUUGAGAGGGAGCAAUUACAUGAGCAAUUAAAGACCCGAUUAUCUAUAAAAAGGUGGCCAAGGCAUGGGAUGAGAUAUCACAAUUCACAUUCACCUUUCAUAGUCUAAGCGAAGGAUUGAGAAGGACGGUUUGAAAAGGAAGCGCAUCCGUUUCUAAUCAAAGACCGUUGCGGCACUGAUAACCUCUCAAUUGCUUCCAAAUCAGAACAAUUAAACUUCUUGGCGUCUUCAACGAGUGCUCCUUUCCUUAAGCUAUUCCGAAUAAUCGAUUCUUCCCAAUAUAAACUCCAACAACCUAUUAUGCUCUAUUUUUGUUAUGAUUUUUUUGCUCAUUUUAUGGUUAGAGGUUUGUGUUUGAUUUUGGUUUUAAUGCUCUACUUUGUGAAGUACUGUCUGGUUGUAUAUUUACGGGGGAGUGAAAAAUGAUGAUUUUGUGAAUUUUUGUUGGGCGAAGUAAUUUUUUUUUGCAAGAAAUGUUUUGGAGAAGGGUUGAGUUUAAUUUAGUUUUAAAUACUCUGGUAGUGUAUUUACGAUGGGUGAAACUGAUGAUUUUGU